GAUCCUGGCUCAGGAUGAACGCUGGCGGCGUGCAUAACACAUUCAAGUCGAACGGGCAGUAUUCCUUCGGGGGUGCUGCUAGUGGCGGACGGGUGAGUAACGCGUGAGCAACCUGCCUCUGUGAGUGGAAUAACACAGGGAAACUUGUGCUAAUACCGCAUGACGAAGCGAAGCCGCAUGACUUUGCUUCCAAAGAUUUAUCGCACAGAGAUGGGCUCGCGUCCGAUUAGGCAGUUGGUGAGGUAACGGCUCACCAAACCGACGAUCGGUAGCCGGACUGAGAGGUUGAACGGCCACAUUGGAACUGAGAUACGGUCCAGACUCCUACGGGAGGCAGCAGUGGGGAAUAUUGGGCAAUGGGCGCCAAGCCUGACCCAGCGACGCCGCGUGAGGGAAGAAGGUCUUCGGAUUGUAAACCUCUUUGACAGGGGACGAAGUAAGUGACGGUACCCUGAAAACAAGCCACGGCUAACUACGUGCCAGCCGCAGC
rnacentral:rRNA from 1 species